UACGUAGGAGGCAAGCGUUGUCCGGAAUUACUGGGCGUAAAGCGCGUGUAGGUGGUGGGACAAGUCUGCUGUGAAAGCGCCUGGCUUAACCGGGCGAGGUCGGCGGAAACUGUUCGACUUGAGGACGGUAGAGGGGGGUGGAAUUCCCGGUGUAGUGGUGAAAUGCGUAGAGAUCGGGAGGAACACCUGUGGCGAAGGCGGCCCCCUGGGCCGGCCCUGACACUGAGACGCAAAGGCGUGGGGAGCGAACGGG
rnacentral:rRNA from 1 species